rnacentral:rRNA from 1 species
GACGAACGCUGGCGGCGUGCCUAAUACAUGCAAGUUGAGCGCUGAAGGUUGGUACUUGUACCAACUGGAUGAGCAGCGAACGGGUGAGUAACGCGUGGGGAAUCUGCCUUUGAGCGGGGGACAACAUUUGGAAACGAAUGCUAAUACCGCAUAAAAACUUUAAACACAAGUUUUAAGUUUGAAAGAUGCAAUUGCAUCACUCAAAGAUGAUCCCGCGUUGUAUUAGCUAGUUGGUGAGGUAAAGGCUCACCAAGGCGAUGAUACAUAGCCGACCUGAGAGGGUGAUCGGCCACAUUGGGACUGAGACACGGCCCAAACGCCUACGGGAGGCAGCAGUAGGGAAUCUUCGGCAAUGGACGAAAGUCUGACCGAGCAACGCCACGUGAGUGAAGAAGGUUGUCGGAUCGUAAAACUCUGUUGGUAGAGAAGAACGUUGGUGAGAGUGGAAAGCUCAUCAAGUGACGGUAACUACCCAGAAAGGGACGGCUAACUACGUG